rnacentral:rRNA from 1 species
UACGUAGGGGCGCAAGCGUUUAUCCGGAAUUAUUGGGCGUAAAGAGCUCGUAGGCGGUUUGUCGCGUCUGCCGUGAAAGUCCGGGGCUCAACUCCGGAUCUGCGGUGGGUACGGGCAGACUAGAGUGAUGUAGGGGAGACUGGAAUUCCUGGUGUAGCGGUGAAAUGCGCAGAUAUCAGGAGGAACACCGAUGGCGAAGGCAGGUCUCUGGGCCACUACUGACGCUGAGAAGCGAAAGCAUGGGGAGCGAACAGG